rnacentral:rRNA from 1 species
UAAUACAGAGGGUGCGAACGUUGCUCGGAUUUACUGGGCGUAAAGCGCGUGUAGGCGGACUCGCAAGUCGGUUGUGAAAUCCCUGGGCCUAACCUAGGAACUGCAUCCGAAACUGCUUGUCUUGAGUAAUGGAGAGGGUGGCGGAAUUCCCGGUGUAGAGGUGAAAUUCGUAGAUAUCGGGAGGAACAUCAGUGGCGAAGGCGGCCACCUGGACAUUUACUGACGCUGAGACGCGAAAGCGUGGGGAGCAAACAGGAUUAGAUACCCUGGUAGUCCACGCCGUAAACGAUGAGAACUAGGUGCAGCGGAUAUUGACCUCUGCUGUGCCGUAGCUAACGCGUUAAGUUCUCCGCCUGGGGAGUACGGCCGCAAGGCUA